AGACCACCAAUUUGUAAGUCGCUCUGGAUAAGAGCGUCUGCUAAAUGACUUAAA
rfam:Salmo salar isolate Sally breed double haploid chromosome ssa13, whole genome shotgun sequence.